rnacentral:lncRNA from 1 species
GAUGAGUAUGAUGACGAGUAUGAUGAUGACUUGGAUGAACCCCUUCCGCCGCUCAAUAAGAUGAAACCCAUCACGGGUAAUGGUGGCCCUCCGGGAAUGAUGCCUAAUAACAUGAUGAUGAUGAAUGGGAUCAAUCCCUUGAUGAAUGGGAUCAAUCCCCAGCUCAUGAAUGCUCAAAAGGGUGCUCCAAUUCCUGCUCAAAAUGCCAAGAAAGGUGGUAAUGGAGGGCCUAUGCCCGUCCAGGUAAAUAUGGCUAACAAUGAGGGUAAAAAUGGAAAC